AUGAACGCUAGCGGCAGGCUUAACACAUGCAAGUCGAGGGGUAUAGUAGCAAUACUAGAGACCGGCGCACGGGUGCGUAACGCGUAUGCAAUCUACCUUUUGCAGAGGGAUAGCCCAGAGAAAUUUGGAUUAAUACCUCAUAGUAUAUAUGGAUGGCAUCAUUUAUAUAUUAAAGUCACAACGGCAAAAGAUGAGCAUGCGUCCCAUUAGCUUGUUGGUAAGGUAACGGCUUACCAAGGCAACGAUGGGUAGGGGUCCUGAGAGGGAGAUCCCCCACACUGGUACUGAGACACGGACCAGACUCCUACGGGAGGCAGCAGUGAGGAAUAUUGGACAAUGGGCGCAAGCCUGAUCCAGCCAUGCCGCGUGCAGGAUGACGGUCCUAUGGAUUGUAAACUGCUUUUGCACAGGAAGAAACAACGCUACGUGUAGCGUCUUGACGGUACUGUGAGAAUAAGGAUCGGCUAACUCCGUG
rnacentral:rRNA from 1 species